UACGUAGGGUGCGAGCGUUGUCCGGAUUUAUUGGGCGUAAAGGGCUCGUAGGCGGUCCAUCGCGUCGGGAGUGAAAAGCUGGGGCUUAACCCCAGUCCUGCUUCCGAUACGGGUGGACUAGAGGUAGGCAGGGGAGAACGGAAUUCCUGGUGUAGCGGUGAAAUGCGUAGAUAUCUGGAGGAACACCGGUGGCGAAGGCGGCAUCCUGGACCGAUAUUGACGCUGAUGCGCGAAAGCCAGGGGAGCAAACGGG
rnacentral:rRNA from 1 species